GAUGAACGCUGGCGGCGUGCUUAACACAUGCAAGUCGAACGGAAAGGCCCAAGCUUGCUUGGGUACUCGAGUGGCGCACGGGUGAGUAACACGUGGGUGAUCUGCCCUGCACUUCGGGAUAAGCCUGGGAAACUGGGUCUAAUACCGGAUAGGACCACUUCUUGGAUGUUGUGGUGGGAAGUUUUUUCGGUGUGGGAUGAGCUCGCGGCCUAUCAGCUUGUUGGUGGGGUAAUGGCCUACCAAGGCGUCGACGGGUAGCCGGCCUGUGAGGGUGCACGGCCACAUUGGGACUGAGGUGCGGCCCAGACUCCUACGGGAGGCAGAAGGGGGGAAUAUUGCACGAUGGGCGCAGGCCGGAUGCAGCGACGCCGCGGGGGGGAGGACGGCCUUAGGGUUGUAGACUCCUUUCGCUAGGGACGAAGCGUUUUGUGACGGUACCUGGAGAAGAAGCACCGGCUAACUACGUG
rnacentral:rRNA from 1 species